CUAAGCCAUGCGAGUCAUUGUAGCAAUACAAGGCGGACGGCUCAGUAACACGUAGUCAACCUAACUCGUGGACGUGGAUAACCUCGGGAAACUGAGAAUAAACCACGAUAGAUCAUAGUGCCUGGAAUGGCUUAUGGUCCAAACAGUUUACUGCCAUGGGAUGGGACUGCGGCCUAUCAGCUUGUUGGUGAGGUAAUGGCCCACCAAGGCGAUUACAGGUACGGGCUCUGAGAGGAGAAGCCCGGAGAUGGGUACUGAGACACGGACCCAGGCCCUAUGGGGCGCAGCAGGCGAGAAACCUUAGCAAUGUGCGAAAGCACGACUGGGUCAGUCCGAGUGAUUCCUGAUAAAGGAGUCUUUUGCCUGUCCUAAAAGCACAGGUGAAUAAGGGGUGGGCAAGUCUGGUGUCAGCCGCCGCGGUAAUACCAGCACCUCGAGUGGUCAGGACGUUUAUUGGGCCUAAAGCAUCCGUAGCCGGCUCUGCAAGUCUUCGGUUAAAUCCACCUGCUCAACAGAUGGGCUGCUGGAGAUACUACAGAGCUAGGGAGUGGGAGAGGCAGACGGUAUUCAGUGGGUAGGGGUAAAAUCCUCUGAUCCAUUGAGGACCACCAGUGGCGAAGGCGGUCUGCCAGAACACGUUCGACGGUGAGGGAUGAAAGCUGGGGGAGCAAACCGGAUUAGAUACCCGGGUAGUCCCAGCUGUAAACGAUGCAAACUCGGUGAUGCAUUGGCUUAUGGCCAAUGCAGUGCCGCAGGGAAGCCGUUAAGUUUGCCGCCUGGGAAGUACGGACGCAAGUCUGAAACUUAAAGGAAUUGGCGGGGGAGCACCACAAGGGUGAAGCCUGCGGUUCAAUUGGACUCAACGCCGGGAA
rnacentral:rRNA from 1 species